AGUGAACGCUGGCGGUAGGCCUAACACAUGCAAGUCGAACGGCAGCACAGUAAGAGCUUGCUCUUACGGGUGGCGAGUGGCGGACGGGUGAGGAAUACAUCGGAAUCUACUUUUUCGUGGGGGAUAACGUAGGGAAACUUACGCUAAUACCGCAUACGACCUACGGGUGAAAGCAGGGGAUCUUCGGACCUUGCGCGAUUGAAUGAGCCGAUGUCGGAUUAGCUAGUUGGCGGGGUAAAGGCCCACCAAGGCGACGAUCCGUAGCUGGUCUGAGAGGAUGAUCAGCCACACUGGAACUGAGACACGGUCCAGACUCCUACGGGAGGCAGCAGUGGGGAAUAUUGGACAAUGGGCGCAAGCCUGAUCCAGCCAUACCGCGUGGGUGAAGAAGGCCCUCGGGUUGUAAAGCCCUUUUGUUGGGAAAGAAAAGCAGCAGGUUAAUACCCCGCUGUUCUGACGGUACCCAAAGAAUAAACACCGGCUAACUUCGU
rnacentral:rRNA from 1 species